CCUACGGGGUGCAGCAGUGGGGAAUAUUGCACAAUGGGGGAAACCCUGAUGCAGCGACGCCGCGUGAGUGAAGAAGUAUUUCGGUACGUAAAGCUCUAUCAGCAGGGAAGAAAAUGACGGUACCUGACUAAGAAGCCCCGGCUAACUACGUGCCAGCAGCCGCGGUAAUACGUAGGGGGCAAGCGUUAUCCGGAUUUACUGGGUGUAAAGGGAGCGUAGACGGCAGCGCAAGUCUGGAGUGAAAUGCCAUGGCUGAACCAUGGAACUGCUUUGGAAACUGUGCAGCUAGAGUGCAGGAGAGGUAAGCGGAAUUCCUAGUGUAGCGGUGAAAUGCGUAGAUAUUAGGAGGAACACCAGUGGCGAAGGCGGCUUACUGGACUGUAACUGACGUUGAGGCUCGAAAGCGUGGGGAGCAAACAGGAUUAGAUACCCUGGUAGUC
rnacentral:rRNA from 1 species